rnacentral:lncRNA from 1 species
UAUGCUUUAUUUUCCUGCUAAGUUUAAUCUCUAGAAAAAUGAAAAGACCAAAAAAAUGCAUGAUUGAACAGUUGCUCUGUUUGCUUACUUUCAAGUACCUAGCUUUUAUAUUAGAGUUCUUCCAGGAAUUACUAAAACUGAAAUUACUAUCUAUGGGAAACAUAAAACUAAAGUCUAGGUAAGAGAAAAGGCAUAAUAUAAAGUUUGAGGUGCUGUUUGUCUUGUUCCUACUACACUAAGUUCUGGAGAUUUAUUUUGAAAACUUACAAAUCACAUGAUGAGUUCCUAGCAUAACAAACUACCUACCACAGCCAUACUUGCUAUAAUAUCUUUUACUUAUAUUCACAUUGAGUUUGAUCGAGCUGUGUAGACCCUUAGGAGCUUUUCAUGUGGUUAAAUUAAGAUAUUCACUUGCACGCAUCCACUACACCAUUCACCACCAUUCAUUAAAAAUUUCUAAAAAUAUUAUCACUCACUGUCCCAAGUAUUGUUAUUCUCUCUUUCCAAAAAGAUUCAAUGCAUAAGAGGCAUGGGUUAUGAUAAAAUAUGCGAGGAAAUAAAAAGGGGCAAGUGCCCGGAACCUCAGAAAAAGAAAGAAAAAGAGUGAGACGAGAGGUAAAAAUGGACAAGUGUCCAGAGUAGAAUUAGGGGUACAAAGAUGCACACUUGAACGGAAAAAAUGGACAAGUGUCCGAUAGUAGAAUUAGGGGUGUCUACUACCCACCUAAAAAAAGAAAUAAAAAGACGGCCCAUGUUCUCCCAAAGCAAAGAUCAAAGAAGAGGAGAGAUUGCAAUAUAAGGAGCAAUGAGAAGUAAGCUUUAUCAUUACUUAUAUUUUCACCAUAACUAUCAUUUACUCCACCACACAUGCUCAUCUUGAUUUAAUUAUAUGCUGAGUUCCUUUAGGAUCCAUGGCUCGAUUAGACAACAUAUGUAUGAGCUGUUUUUCACUCCUAUGAGCCCC